rnacentral:rRNA from 1 species
UACGAAGGGGGCUAGCGUUGCUCGGAAUCACUGGGCGUAAGGGUGCGUAGGCGGGUCUUUUAAGUCAGGGGUGAAAUCCUGGAGCUCAACUCCAGAACUGCCUUUGAUACUGAAGAUCUUGAGUUCGGGAGAGGUGAGUGGAACUGCGAGUGUAGAGGUGAAAUUCGUAGAUAUUCGCAAGAACACCAGUGGCGAAGGCGGCUCACUGGCCCGAUACUGACGCUGAGGCACGAAAGCGUGGGGAGCAACA